rnacentral:rRNA from 1 species
CGGCGGACGGGUGAGUAACGCGUGGAUAACCUGCCUCACACAGGGGGAUAACAGUUAGAAAUGACUGCUAAUACCGCAUAAGCGCACGGUACCGCAUGGUACAGUGUGAAAAACUCCGGUGGUGUGAGAUGGAUCCGCGUCUGAUUAGGUAGUUGGUGAGGUAACGGCCCACCAAGCCGACGAUCAGUAGCCGACCUGAGAGGGUGACCGGCCACAUUGGGACUGAGACACGGCCCAAACUCCUACGGGAGGCAGCAUG